AACACCGUGAGGUCUUGUGGGGAGGAAGCCGUUAGCAAAUACGAGCUGACGAACAGAAACAUCCUAUAAGGCUUAGCCUGGAGGCGAGGUGGCCAAGGACACCGAAGCCAUGUCAUCUAACGGGUAGAGUCAAUGAUGCACUUGUGUAGUGAAAGUUCACACU
rnacentral:ncRNA from 1 species